rnacentral:misc_RNA from 1 species
GUAGGUGAACCUGCGGAGGGAUCAUUCACAUGAUUACUUUCAAAACAAACUGUGAACUUUAUAUACUAUUCGUGUUUUUGAUUUAUCAUUAACAUUGUCAUUCGAUUGAACAUAAGAUAGUUGGCUUUUUGAAUUUAUUCAAAUUUCUCAGCUUUGAAUUUGAUAUUACUAAACAUUUUAUCAUUUCAACCAUAAACAUAGAAACAACUCUAUGCCCUGGAUAUCUUGGUUCUCGCAUCGAUGAAGAACG